AGCGAACGCUGGCGGCAGGCCUAACACAUGCAAGUCGAACGAAGUCUUCGGACUUAGUGGCGGACGGGUGAGUAACACGUGGGAACGUGCCUUUAGGUUCGGAAUAACUCAGGGAAACUUGUGCUAAUACCGAAUGUGCCCUUCGGGGGAAAGAUUUAUCGCCUUUAGAGCGGCCCGCGUCUGAUUAGCUAGUUGGUGAGGUAAAGGCUCACCAAGGCGACGAUCAGUAGCUGGUCUGAGAGGAUGAUCAGCCACAUUGGGACUGAGACACGGCCCAAACUCCUACGGGAGGCAGCAGUGGGGAACCUUGCGCAAUGGGCGAAAGCCUGACGCAGCCAUGCCGCGUGAAUGAUGAAGGUCUUAGGAUUGUAAAAUUCUUUCACCGGGGGCGAUAAUGACGGUACCCGGAGAAGAAGCCCCGGCUAACUUCGUGCCAGCCGCCGCCGUAAGAC
rnacentral:rRNA from 1 species